AGCAAACAUCGAGGCAAAGACGGCGGGCAAGAACAUUUUCUAACGAGUUGUACUUCAGGUCUGUAAGGUUAUUAGCGAGAAACAACGGAUAAAUCAACGCUAAAGCCCAAGAAGAAAAAUGAUGAGGGAUAAAGUCUGGUUGGAUGUGUGAAACUGUGUCAGCAUUUUACACGUACAAAGGGGCUUGAUUUGACUAUCAAGAAGUGUCGUUAUGAAGAAAUGAGAUGUUUUACUAGCAGAAAAUGCCCCAAAGGUUACGCCCAUAAUUACACCCGUUUUACCUAAGAGGGAAGCGUGUCACAAAUCCAAUUCUGGUGAGAAAGAGGGACAUCCAAUCUGCAGAUGAAAAUGAGGUGCCUCCAGAACUGCAACAACAUGCUUGGUCAAAGAGGGAGAAAAGAAUAAUUCUCUGCGUUCAAACUCUUGCUCUAAAAACCAUCCUCUAAAUCUUCCACCUCUGGGGAAAAUGGAGGACUAAAUGCUUUUUGUGAUAUUGUGAGAAGGAUUUUUUCCCCUCUGACAGGAAAAAAACAGUCCUAGAGGGAAUGAGUUUCUCAGUCAACAAGUCAAAUCCUUCCAACCUCUUCAAACAAUAAUCAUCCCAUGGGAGAUCCAGCAGCUUCCUGUAAAGAGAUCCAUGUUUCCCCCCCAAAGUCUCGCUCAAAAACAUUUCUUUCACCAGGCAAAACAAAGUUGGGCUGGUUUCAGCUAAUGUGUCAUGUUGAUAUCUGGAGGAAAGAAAUUGGACAAAACUCCGUGACUCACCUCUUCCAGGCCCAAGGUUGUCCCUUUCAAUUUGGAUCAUAGCAGCUUCCGUGAGCAGAAACGUCAGCGAGGCGCUAAAACAGGCCGAAGCUGCAGAUUCCUGACCUCCUGAGACAGGAAACUGACCAAUCAGAGUCAGAUGUAGCAAAUCCCAGAGGAGCUCAGUUUUCCUGAAGCCUGUAGGUGGCAGUGGAGAGUCAUCUUGGGCCUUCCAGGUCUCUGGCUGAAGAAAUAAAUGACAGUAAAUAAACAAAUAUU